rnacentral:lncRNA from 1 species
AAUAUUUGCAAAAAAGCUACAUCAGAAGGACGACAACAAUUUUCUCAAGAAGAUUUGUCUCAAUAACAUUACGAAAAUACCAUAGAUUACCUAAGCAAGAUGGGCUUCGCUUUGAAAAAAAUUACUAAAAUUAUUAUGGUCACUUACGUACGUUUUCUGAGAUACAAUCCACGGAGACCCACCCAGUGCAGAUUUGGCGACUCAACCAGAGACAAGUACUUGUCUCUGACUCAACUGUACUUGUCCUACACCUCAACGUGCCUCAAAUAAGCCAUUGAAGUAAGUCGCAUAGAAGAAUAAAUCAAUUGAAAAAUUAUUCCGCGACACAACUGUGAGGCUCUAUUUAAACGGCUGUUAAGCACAAAGCCUGGUAGAUAGAAAUAGACAUAAUAAAGGCUUUUUUUAUGAAAAAAUGCUCGCUUUUUAACAAACAUCUGACAACACAGCACCUUCAAAAGCACCGUACGUGACAUUGAAGGUUUUUUUAAACCGAUCAGCUGAUUUUAGCGAACAGAGAUUUGGGAUUUUUAUCUUCCAAACGGAACUAAAAUAGACUCCGAAUGAUAUAUUGAAGUGUUUGAAAAGGGGAACAAGAGGGCAGCAAAAUGGUGAAAGGACUGCUGGCCUUUUUAGUUGGAGUAUACUCAGGCAUUUAUGUGAGCCAAAACUACAAUGUGCCCAGAGUUGAUGACCCCCGGGCCAUAUUUGAAAGAGUCAAGGAAUUUGCAGACAAGCACAAAAAAGACUAGUUUUAGUUAGAACACAGUUACUUCAUUUACAUUUGGAAUAGUAGCCGAAAUAUAAUAUAAAUUAAAUGCCA